GGCUCCACAACAGCUAGGGAUGUAUUAUUUUCCCGUUUGGUUGGGAAGAAACAGGCUCAGAGAGGCGAGGCAGCAGGAACUCAGGCCAUGUCACUUGGUGACAGGUGGCCCAGUGUCUUUAUUCUGCAACCAGAGAAGUGCAAGGCCACCCGUCACAAGGCUGAGCAGGUGUUGAGGCCUGGCUGUUUGAGUCCACUGCUGUGUCACUGGAGCAAGGAUAUUGAGACCAGAGUGCUCCUGAUCUGGUGGCCGAAGAAACCCGAGUCUUGACUUCUGCGGACGGCUGACGCCUCUGGCACGAGCCUUCUUUGACUCUGCCCUCGUUCUGGUUCUCCUGGGGGGCUGGGGUGGGGCAGAACUUCCUCAGGAUCUUCUGGAGUCUACGCCCAGGGACACUGCCUCUGCACCCAUCAGGGCUAUGGGUGGGGGCAAGGCAGCAGCAGGGGCAGGGACAGCUCAGAAGUUUGUUCCACCUGUCAGGCCCAGCCUGAGACCCUCUCCAGGUACCCUGGUCUCUCCUGGCCCUGGGAUCACCUCAUUAGCCAUGCCUGGCACUGGCCUUGGGGAAGGCAUGGUGUUGGUUUUGGCACACAUUGCCACGGUUGCUGGAGCAGGCAGCCCGUGGGCAGGAUGCCCUUGGGAACGUUCCUCAACCCAGCUGAGUGUGCAUGGUGCUGGGUGGAAAGCAGGAAGGAUCUCAAAGGCGUCUCCAGCCCCUGGACGGCCAGGAAGAGAGAGGGUCCCCCAUGUGCAGCUGUGGGAGGAGCUGCCAUCCCAGAGCCCCACUAUCCAGGUCAUGGAAAGAGGAACCCGAGAGCCCU
ensembl:lncRNA